UUGACAUGUGCAUGUGUGUGUGUGUGUGUGUGUGUGUGUGUGUGUGUGUGUUCCAGUCUUCUAAAUAGCACGGGUAAUAAACUAGAGAUGAAACCCGCGUUCCACAUCAAGUAGGUUUGGUGUUUCGGGAACUCUCGCUGUUAGGAAACACUCGAGUCUGACAGGAACGUUCCAGGAGCUUCGGCUGCAAACACAGUGGAUUGAAGUCACAGUUAUUAUACAUCAUACUAUAAGAUAUUAUACGUUUCCUGUAGACAAGGCUUCAGUCGAGGGGUGGGGGGGGGGGGGCGUCCUGAUGAUUGACAGAGCAACCGGCCUGCUGGGAAAUUGACUUGAGUCAUGUGACUUUGUCUGAGAAAAAGAUCAUUAUUAUUAUCGCGAUAGGAAAUUUUAAAAGGUGGAUAGAAAUGGAACUCGCUAUUCGGUGUACUGAGUCCUUCUGUUGUCGUAGCCUACUUGACAUUACAGGCUGAUCUGUUACCAUGACUACCGCACUGGUUGUCUACAUGGCUUUACAGCAUUUAAAAGGAUAUGCGGCGCUACGCCAAAAACAUUUGGGACUUUGGUUCCAGCCCCCGUCAAAAAACACAUUUAAACCAAUUAGAAGCUAAAAACGACACGCAUGUUUUCCAAUGAUUCAUGACUGAGGACACAGACAACUGGAAACCGACGGCAACAACGCGCUUACAUCCCGCUAACGGAAUGCGUCCGGUUAGCUCGACACAACGCGAAUGCGGCGGCGGGAAGAGGCGGCGUUAAUCCAGAUUGACAUGUCCCGCAGACGAAGAGCAGGCGAAGGCGUGCCGAUUUGUGGCGGCUGGGAUCUACUUGCCUUCCGGAGGACAAAAAGGGGGCCUUAAAAAACACGAGCUCACGUACGUUUGCCGAUCAGAGCCGGGUGGUUGGGGAAUAAUCAGCGUUUGUGUGCGUUUGUGCGCGUCCGUCUGCGUCUCUGUGUGCUUUUCGUGCAAACCGGAGGACGCCCGUGAGCUUCCUCGCGACCGGCCUUAAAAUAAAGAAGCACGCCUGCCGCUCAAGGCGACAUGCACAAUGUCUCUCUCACUCUGUCACACACAAAAACACACACUUUUUGACUCGCUUAACGACGCGGCCCAUAUUUGAUCAUUAAAAGCGCCGCCGCCGAUAAGGAGGCGGGCCGACGGGUAAUGACGGACGCUUUUACUCUUUCGCUACCUGCAAAAAAUAAAGCUCAGCGCUCAUCCAGGAGAUGGAGACUCCUCGCGGUCUGAUAAAAUAACAAAGAUUGCGGCCGUGUGCCCGAGAGCCAGUGUGCACGGUUUGAUAUUCCACUCACACACACAGACACACACACACACACACCCUGUGUGAGCAGAGGCAGCGCAGACCUGAUUCCAGCCUUUGCUGCGGCCUUAUCCGGGCUUUCGACGGGGCCUGCUUCGACUAACACCGGGGCUUUAGGCGCCGCGUUCGGCGAGCACGAGGCCCGCCGCUUGUUUUGUUGCACCCGACAGGAAGGAACGUUCGGACGAGGAUCGCCGGACGAGCGCCGAGACGAGUCGCGAGACUCGAGACGCCAAGCAGUCCGCGUCCUCUCUAUUCUCACAGCCUGCAAUUCAGACGUCCUGUACUCGUUUUUGAGAGUCUUCUGUGAUUUUAUACUGACGUCUGCUCCUUUUUGCACUUUUUACUUCGUCUUUAGCAGAUCGGCCGGAUUCCAAUCAUGGAAAGAAGACCAAAAGAUGCCGUGAGGUCUCGACGGCUGGAAGUCUAUUUUGGCACACAUGUAAUAGCUGAAUUGCUAAAUAUUCCUGCUUGGUUUUUCAGUGUUCGGCUCUCCACCGGAAGCCAUUUAUCUCCACUUAAGCGGGUCCCUGCUGAUGCAGCCGCCCGGGCGCCGGGGCCGGUACCGUCCUUUCAUGUGAUCUCACGUGAAAUGAAAACAUUUAUUACAUUAAAUACUACGCGGUGCAUUUAGCUACAUUAAUUCAAGUCCCUUUAGCUGAAUGCUGGAAACUAAUGAAGGGAAAUACAGUUUAAAUCUGAGCUCACAGCAAAUAACAUGAAGCUUUUAUACCUAACUGCAUUCUGUUUGUGUUGUUGUUGUUGUCGUUUGCACUCAUUCAAUCAAUUUGGUCCAUUUGGAGUCAAACCAAGGGGGGCGGGACUCACUAUGAUUGACAGAGCGUUGCCGUGGUACGUCCUUCCUCUGCCUUCCCGAUGCGGUAACCUCCGUUCACUGGUUGGAAAAGACCAAGAUGGCGGCCGCUGUAAUCCAAGAUGGCGUCGGCCAAGAGGAGGCUUCAGAACAGCGGUCCACAAACCAGCGGGCGGGGGGGGGGGACACGUCCACUUCUCACGCGCGUCUCGUCUUGUCAUGACGUCUCCUGGAGGCUCCUGGCUGCCUUGUCCUCCUCAGCUUCUCGUCCCUCACCAGACCUCGUCUCGCCGUGAGUCUCCUUGACCUUCAUUCGUCCACGCUGCGGCUGUUUGGGAACGCGCUGCCUGCGCAGGUCGCCCCGUCCGAGGGUAUUUUCGGCGGCGUGUUCUUCGAGCCCGCGUGGUUCCGGCACUCCGCUCUUCCUGUUUGUGCUGUGGAUGAGAAAGCGAUGUCACCGAUGGGGUUUGAUGUCUUACAAAGAACCGCGCGGCACGAUCACAAACGGCUCACCGUAAAAAACAAAAAAGCCUCCUUUUGAGCCCGGAGAGCACGAGUCCAUUUCCGGAUGGGUGAAAAAAAACAACAGAAUCAAAAUCUGCUGAAUCUGCUGGACCAAACGGAUCAAAAUGAAUAAAAAGAGGGCAUUUACUUUACAAUUCUGAAAACAUCGAAUGUCAUCAAAAGACCACAGGAAUGCGCAACUGUUUUUGUUGUUUCUGUCGUGUAGCAUAAAUGGGCUGCGUUGCGUUGUGUGUGUUGCAGAAUAAACGGUCGUGUAGAGCAUCGUACUCAGGGUACAAAUUACCAGAAGAGAAGGUCUCGUGAAAAAAUAUCUAAAGAAGAAAGACGAGGCCACCGAGGGGAAGGAGUAGCAGUCAACUGAUAUGAUUGUUCCAUUAUUGUGUAAAAGGGCCUCUAAUGAACACUUGAUUGUGAACGACGUUUUUUAUUGGGAAAAGGCUGAAGCAGCAUUGACAUGCAAUCAGUCGGAAGAUAUCCAAUUUAGCUUCCUUUGUCCGCUGCAAAGUGUGUUAAUCACGCUUACAUAUCUUCCAUAACUCGGGUUGUUCUCCAGCCUCGGAAACGUCAACAUGGGGAUGUGAUUUCUCUACGAUGAGAAGCAGCAAAUACUCAUCGUCAUUACGUUUGGAUCUAUUCGCAGAUCCAACAUGGAGCGAGUUUGACCCAUAACGAAUGAAUGGUUCAUGGCCGCUGCAGGGAAAUCUGAAUCGACGGGAUAUUUACUCAGUAUUCUUAUACUCGUACUUAACUAUUUCUAAUCUUCCUCUGUGGGGAUCUUUUAUCUUAAAAAUGUAAACAGCGCUUUCUUCUAUUUACUCACAAUGGAGCAAUUUAAACAUGUUGUGUUUUUACUUCUACUGUUGUUUUUCUAUCACCAUCAUUUCACUCUGUUUUCUUGUAUAAUUACUUUAUUCAGACUUGACUUUAAUAAAGAAAGACAUCUAAUUCUCAAUGUUUAUUCUUCCUGUAGUUACUCCGUAGCAAAUUUAAUUAAUCCUGCCCUCCAUCCCAAUCAUUUUCGAGGAGCUAAUGGAAGUCUGAAGAGGAAAAAAUAGCACGUUAGGAACGAGUGCAGCUCGGCCGCAUAAUUGUCAGGAUAUUUCUAUUAUUCGCAUCUGAUGGCAAAGUCUAUUUGCGGCCCGCAACAGAAACGUGUGGGGAGGAAACGAGUUUAACAGCCACUCUGCAGCCUUUGAGUCACGCAGAAAGCUCCGCUCGGCUGGGAUUGUCUUCGCCGUCUCUCCCGUUGCCUCAAAUCCUUCGUGCCGCCGGCCCGGGGAGGACAGAGAUCCGUCAGGGCCAUCGGACGCCGACAAUGGAGCGGCACAGUUUGGGGUCUGCGCCCGUUUAAGCGGGCUGUGAGAGGGUUAUGGAUGUGCCACGCCGUAUCGGAUCUGAGUCCGGUAUCUAAUCAACUCCUGUCCCCGCCAUGACGCCCGUUCACGAUGGAUUUCCAGUGCAGUGAAAAUAAUCAAUUCAUUUGGCGAGAGAAAUAGGAGGAAUCCCUGUUUGAAGGCACAAAACAGUUUUAUAGAUAUCAAGUUCUCUCAAAGGGGUUUCAAUGAAUAAAACGGAGGCAUGGAAUCACGGCUGGAGGAGUUUUUAAAAAGAGGAAUUUACCGAUUUUAAGGUCAUUGAGUCGACAAGUUAGAAUUUCGGUUUCUCUUCAUCCCUCUCCUCAUCGUCACUGCAGACCUCCAGGUAGCCGGUUAACAGAUUGAUUUCAGCCGACACGUUGCACCUCUUUUGCUCUGUUCGAAGGUAAUUGGUCGACAGACUAUAGACUACAAAUGGAAACCAAGGAGAUUUCUGAGAAAUGUUGUUGGCUUGUCCAAUUACUUUUUGCCACCUAAAAUUGGGAAACUGUAAAUGCGUCACAACAGUUAUGGAUACUGUUUUUCUGAGCUGGAGGAAACAAAGUUACAGCUAAACUUAAUCUGACUUCCGAUCCAAUGUGCUGGACAACAGAACGCAGGCAUCACAAAUGUUUUCUUUCCGAUUCAUUUUGGAAGAUGGUCCUGUGAAAUAUUUUACAAUCAGAAGAGUUUAAUAAUGUUGAGAAGCUCUGGGAUACAUAAUAAAUAUAAUUGCUACUCAUUAACAAACAGCUUACAAGUAUAAACUACAGCUUACAAAACAAGCCCGACGUCUAUAGCAGUAGUGUCGUUUUUGGGGGCGUGGCUUUGAUGGGAGGCCCAAAAGGGGGCGGGGGCUGUCAGUGUUGACGACGCAGCGACUAUUUCAGGACCCGGUGCUGCUUUGUUUUGUGAUUCACGGCGUUUCUUGGCACUAUCCGGCCCACCUUCAAUCAUUCCAACAUUUCUACCGGUUGCGCUUGUCCAGCCUGAGUCUUCUGUCCCUGAACCAUCUUUUUCUUUCUCAUCUCUCUUUACAGAAGGGUUGCUCAUUGUUUGUGCCGAUGAUUCAACCAGAAGAGCUCAGCUUCCAUCCAAGCCCCACUCCAAAGAAACAGCGUCUUCACAAAAAGAAAUUCCAAAAUAGCUCCUCCCACCUCACUACACAGAAGGGCACUCAUCACAGCUACAGUACGUGUGAAGGAGGGAGAGGCAGCAGUGACUCCAUCUGAGCUUCGCAGUGCAGAGCGGAGACGUUCAGCCCUGCGGUUUGUGUCCAGCGCGAGACACUCGGUCCUCCCGGUCCCCCGAGAA